rnacentral:rRNA from 1 species
AACGCUGGCGGCGUGCCUAACACAUGCAAGUCGAGCGAAGUUUAUUUAGCAGCGACUUCGGUCAAAGCUGAUUAAACUUAGCGGCGAACGGGUGAGUAACACGUAGGCAACCUGCCCAUGACACGGGGAUAGCUUCGGGAAACCGGAGGUAAUACCCGAUACCUUUACUUAUUGCAUGAUAAGUAAAGAAAGCGAAUAGCGGUCAUGGAUGGGCCUGCGUCCCAUUAGCUAGUUGGUGAGAUAACAGCCCACCAAGGCGACGAUGGGUAGCCGACCUGAGAGGGUGAUCGGCCACACUGGGACUGAGACACGGCCCAGACUCCUACGGGAGGCAGCAGUAGGGAAUUUUCCGCAAUGGGCGAAAGCCUGAUGGAGCGACGCCGCGUGAGCGAAGAAGGCCUUCGGGUUGUAAAGCUCUGUCUGGAGGGACGAAGGAAGUGACGGUACCUCCGGAGGAAGCCACGGCUAACUACGUG